GGUAUCAUGGCCGAGUGGUCUAAGGCGCUGGACUUAAGAUCCAGUAUUCGAAAGAAUGCGUGGGUUCAAACCCCACUGAUACCA
rfam:Edhazardia aedis TSNM 41457 supercont1.40, whole genome shotgun sequence.